GCUGAAGCAGCAACAAGCAAAAUAUAAUCUAAUCGCUUUUCCUACUGAUUCUGAGUAUCACUGGUUGUUGGCCAAGAUGUUUGUAAGAGCAUGACCUUGGUGGUGCUACUACCUUAAAGCUUUCCCUAAGUACUGAAAAGAGGACAGCAAGCGAAAGAAACUUGAAAAAAGACUGAGUAAUUUUGCUGUGGCUGAGUGAAAGAGCAACUAGAAGGUGGAUCUUCAAAAUCCUGUACGUGAGUGCUGAUGAGAAGAAAGCAUUGAUACCUCAAACCAAAGUUCUUUUUGGGCUGAUUAUGUGUUUGUUUAUUAAAUAUUUUUUUUUGUAUUAUCCUGAUGUAUCAUAUCACGUUGUUUAAGCAUUACACAUACUGUAUGCUUUAUAGUUUUGUUGCUCUUUUUUGAUUAACCUCAGAUGUGAGGUUUUUA